UUUUUAAUCUCAUGAUUAACUGCAAUUUUUUUUAAUCGUUUGACAGACAUAGCUGGUAGCUUUCUCAAGCUUUCCCACCUAUUAAGAAUUUGGUGCCACUUUAGGACCUCCGCUGUUGUCUAUGUGGUGCUUAUGAGCCCGCCAUUUGAGCCCUUGGCUACUUUCUCUUGGACUCCAUUAAGUCAAAAGAUUGGUUUCCUCAUAGCCAUUAGAUUGGCCAGGAUGGUGUCUGUGAGAUACAGGCAGAUCCUCCUUUUACAGUAUUCUGUAAGGAUAAGGUAGCCCUGCAUCCCCACCCUAAGUUUUUAACUAAAGUUAAAGUUAGCUUUUAUUUAAAGUUGUGUUAGCAUUUAUUUAAAUCAGACAAUAUAUCUAUAUUCUUCCUGAAACUACACUUGGGUGUGAUAGUCUGUACCCCUAUGUUCACCCAUUUUACAAAGCAUACUGUGUAAAUUCAUGAUUUGUCCUUGUAAAAUAUGUGUGGCAACAUUGUAUGUAAUGAUACAAGAUUCCAUUGUAUAAUAUUACCAAGGCACAUUCCAACAUGUUCUGGAGGACAGUCCCAAACAAAUUCCCCAGAGAGGAAAGACUAGUCAACACCUCAACUAGGUGUCAAAUGGACCACCAUCUGGUUAAGUGGCCACUCUUUGGCAAAAGAGAGGGUGUGAACAAAAUAUCUAUAUUUUGACAACGCAACCUAAGGUACCUGCCCACAGAUUUUCUGUCUUCUGAACAUCAUCUGGAGAGGAUUCUUGCACAGAAGAAAGGGCUAGAUGUGGAGAGGGCAGAUGCCCCAAAUGAUUUCUCCCUUGCUGUCUACCCACGGCAUAAUCAACCCCCGAAGAACAAAGGAAGCAGCAUUGGACUGUGGGGGGGGGGAAGGGGGUGCACAGGAGAUUCUGAAUGAAACAGGGUUCAGCCAGUAAGACUGCUGGAAUAUUUGGUGAGAGACCUUCGGUUUGUAUUCACUUAGCUUGUUAAGUUAGGUAUUAGUUGCAUUUUACCUUUUGUUUCCUUGUAACCUAUUCUGACUUAUAUGCCUCAUUACUUGUACUCACUUAAAAUAGAUCUUUCUGUAGUUAAUAAAUUUAGUUCAUUGUGUUAUCUAUA